rnacentral:lncRNA from 12 species
CCCCCCCCCCCCCCGGGUUUUUUUUUUUUUUUUUUUUUAGCCUGCACCUGUCUCUCGUUCCUCAGCUGAGGACACACUGAAAUGUACUUCCCUCCAGACCUGAUCCUGUAAGAGCUUCAGGUGGUAAUUAAAUUCAUCAUUAUCUACAUCUAUUUCUACUUAAACACUUGAGGGGAAAAGCAGACUGAAGCCAGCAGUUGCUGGAACUUGCAAUAAUGAGUCACCCACAGGAAAAAAAAAAGCUCCCCCAUUUCUCCAUCCCCAAAUGGGUGAGAUUUUUUUUAGUUUUCAUUCUUAUGGAAGUCUUAUGGAGGCCUUGCAAAGGAGGGAGGAUCAUUUUGAGUAGCCCUGUGUGUCCGUCUCUUGAGAAAGUGGCAGCUUCACUCCCAGCUAGGAAGAAAGGUUCCCUGACCAUUCUAUCAGGAAAUACACAGGACAGAGCUGUGGCAGAGUACUGCAGAAAAGAUGACUCAAUGAAGCAGAAAAACAAUGUUAGUCUUUGGUGGCCAGGGAAAAGGAGGAAAGCUCGUGGUGGUCUCCAGAUGAUCUGACCCUGACUGAAGCAAUCUCCUUCCACAAGGAGGGAGCAAAGGGCUGGCAAGUGCAGGUAAAGCUGCCUGAACUCCAUGUGCUAAGAAAUCACCCACACAAACACAUUCC